rnacentral:rRNA from 1 species
UACGUAGGGUGCAAGCGUUAAUCGGAAUUACUGGGUGUAAAGCGUGCGCAGGCGGCUUUGCAAGACAGAUGUGAAAUCCCCGGGCUUAACCUGGGAACUGCAUUUGUGACUGCAAGGCUGGAGUGCGGCAGAGGGGGAUGGAAUUCCGCGUGUAGCAGUGAAAUGCGUAGAUAUGCGGAGGAACACCGAUGGCGAAGGCAAUCCCCUGGGCCUGCACUGACGCUCAUGCACGAAAGCGUGGGGAGCAAACAGG